rnacentral:rRNA from 1 species
UUGGUCGAUGGACGUAAGUGUGAACCAGCCAAGUAGCGUGCGGAUUGACGGCUCAUGGGUUGUAAACUGCUUUUGUUGGGGAGUAAAGCGGGGCACGUGUGCCCCUUUGCAUUUACCCUUCGAAUAAGGACCGGCUAAUUCCGUGCCAGCAGCCGCGGUAAUACGGAAGGUCCAGGCGUUAUCCGGAUUUAUUGGGUUUAAAGGGAGUGUAGGCGGUCUGUUAAGCGUGUUGUGAAAUUUAGGUGCUCAACAUCUACCUUGCAGCGCGAACUGGCGGACUUGAGUGCACGCAACGUAUGCGGAAUUCAUGGUGUAGCGGUGAAAUGCUUAGAUAUCAUGACGAACUCCGAUUGCGAAGGCAGCGUACGGGAGUGUUACUGACGCUUAAGCUCGAAGGUGCGGGUAUCGAACAGGAUUAGAUACCCUGGUAGUCCGCACGGUAAACGAUGGAUGCCCGCUGUUAGCGCCUGGCGUUAGCGGCUAACGAAGCAUUAAGCAUCCCA